rnacentral:rRNA from 1 species
AUUGAACGCUGGCGGCAGGCCUAACACAUGCAAGUCGAACGGUAACAGGGAUCAGCUUGCUGAUUCGCUGACGAGUGGCGGACGGGUGAGUAAUGUCUGGGAAACUGCCUGAUGGAGGGGGAUAACUACUGGAAACGGUAGCUAAUACCGCAUAACGUCGCAAGACCAAAGAGGGGGACCUUCGGGACUCUUGCCAUCGGAUGUGCCCAGAUGGGAUUAGCUAGUAGGUGGGGUAACGGCUCACCUAGGCGACGAUCCCUAGCUGGUCUGAGAGGAUGACCAGCCACACUGGAACUGAGACACGGUCCAGACUCCUACGGGAGGCAGCAGUGGGGAAUAUUGCACAAUGGGCGCAAGCCUGAUGCAGCCAUGCCGCGUGUAUGAAGAAGGCCUUCGGGUUGUAAAGUACUUUCAGCGGGGAGGAAGGGAGUAAAGUUAAUACCUUUGCUCAUUGACGUUACCCGCAGAAGAAGCACCGGCUAACUCCGUG